UUUCCGUAGGUGAACCUGCGGAAGGAUCAUUCAUAAUAAGUGUUUUACUGCACUUUUUAAAAAUAGCACUCACCUUGUGUGCAAUGUUGUGUUUCUUUUCGGAGAUACACCUACACCAACCUAUAACCUUGAACCACUUUGUCUGAAAAACUAUUAUGAAUACUUAAUUCAAAAUACAACUUUCAACAACGGAUCUCUUGGCUCUC
rnacentral:misc_RNA from 1 species